CCCGGCGGAGAAAGCACGUGGUCCUCCUGCAUUUUACUGUGCUAAUAGCGGUUCAGCACCAAAUCUUGGAUGAUUUCAUAAUAUGGAAACAAGACCAGACUGGAAAAACUACAGCAGAGAAAAGCCAUUUCACUUUGGAUCUUCUGUGACUAUUUGGUGUAGUGAUGUUUAGUAAGAUUUAAGGUACUGAAAGAUGUCCAGUGCAAUAAUUCAAGAUUUGAAUAAGCGUAUUACUAGAUUUUUGUGAAUUUACUACCUGUGGAAAGUGCUGGAUUAACAGUUCUGGUGUAUCUAUCUACUACUACUCUCAGUGCAUCCUUGGGAAAAUUAGUAAAUCUGUAUUUUGGAUAUUCCCAAGUCAUAACAACAAAGCAGAGCUCCUUGCCUGAGACCCAUGACAAAGAUACAGUGUGCAGCCUGAAGAACAGGUUGGAACUCAGACCAAGGAAUGGUUUUUAUCUCCAUGAAAAAAAAAAGUAGGUGCAUUCCCACUUGCUGUUAGUAUCUCCUUUAGGAUCUGUAGGAUCUA